rnacentral:tRNA from 1 species
UAUGUUUUAGUAUAAGAUGUACAGAAAAUUUUGAUUUUUCAAGUAAUAGUUUAAUUCUAUUAAAUAUAU